rnacentral:tRNA from 1 species
GCCGGGAUGGUGAAAUUGGUAGACACGCUUGCCUUAGGAGCAAGUGCCCUCGUGGCAUGCUGGUUCGAGUCCAGUUCCCGGCA